CUGACACAGGGAGGUAGUGACAAUAAAUAACAAUGCCGGGCCUAUACAGGUCUGGCAAUUGGAAUGAGAACAAUUUAAAUCCCUUAUCGAGUAUCAAUUGGAGGGCAAGUCUGGUGCCAGCAGCCGCGGUAAUUCCAGCUCCAAUAGCGUAUAUUAAAGUUGUUGCAGUUAAAAAGCUCGUAGUUGGAUUUCUGGCAGGAGUGACCGGUCACACACUCUGUGUGUGAACUCGCGUUGUCUCUGGCCAUCCUUGGGGAGAUCCUGUUUGGCAUUAAGUUGUCGGGCAGGGGAUACCCAUCGUUUACUGUGAAAAAUUAGAGUGUUUAAAGCAGGCUUAUGCCGUUGAAUAUAUUAGCAUGGAAUAAUAAGAUAGGACUUCGGAACUAUUUUGUUGGUUUGCGUUACGAAGUAAUGAUUAAUAGGGACAGUUGGGGGUAUUCGUAUUUCGUUGUCAGAGGUGAAAUUCUUGGAUUUCCGAAAGACGAACUACUGCGAAAGCAUUUACCAAGGAUGUUUUCAUUAA
rnacentral:rRNA from 1 species